CGCGUAGGCGGUUUUUCAAGUCAGAGGUGAAAGCCCGGGGCUCAACCCCGGAAUUGCCUUUGAAACUGGAAGACUUGAAUCUUGGAGAGGUCAGUGGAAUUCCGAGUGUAGAGGUGAAAUUCGUAGAUAUUCGGAAGAACACCAGUGGCGAAGGCGACUGACUGGACAAGUAUUGACGCUGAGGUGCGAAAGCGUGGGGAGCAAACA
rnacentral:rRNA from 1 species